rnacentral:rRNA from 1 species
CCCUUAGACGUUCUGGGCCGCACGCGCGCUACACUGACCAGUGCAACAAGCAUCCGUCCUUGGCCGACAGGCUCGGGCAACCUUUGAACGCUGGUCGUGAUGGGGAUAGACUUUUGCAAUUUUUGGUCUUCAACGAGGAAUUCCUAGUAAACGCAAGUCAUCAACUUGCAUUGAUUACGUCCCUGCCCUUUGUACACACCGCCCGUCGCACCUACCGAUUGAAUGGUCCGGUGAAGCCUCCGGAUUGGCGCGCACCUCGGUGCCGCCGAGAAGUUGGCUAAACCUUACCAUUUAGAGGAAGGUGAANUCGUANCA